rnacentral:rRNA from 1 species
GUGGUGCAUGGCCGUUCUUAGUUGGUGGAGUGAUUUGUCUGGUUAAUUCCGUUAACGAACGAGACCCCUGCCUGCUAAAUAGUUGGGUGAAUGACUCGUUCAUUGACUACAGCUUCUUAGAGGGACGUUCAUCUCUUAAGAUGAAGGAGGAUAGGGGCAAUAACAGGUCUGUGAUGCCCUUAGAUGUCCUGGGCCGCACGCGCGCUACACUGAUGCAUUCAACGAGUUUGUUCCUUGGCCGAGAGGCCUGGGGAAUCUUGUUAACGUGCAUCGUGAUAGGGAUAGAUUAUUGCAAUUAUUAAUCUUGAACGAGGAAUUCCUAGUAAACGCAGAUCAUCAAUCUGCAUUGAUUACGUCCCUGCCCUUUGUACACACCGCCCGUCGCACCUACCGAUUGAAUGGUCCGGUGAAGCCUCGGGAUUGUGACUGUUCUGCUUUAUUGUGGUCGGUUGCGAGAACUUGUCUAAACCUUAUCAUUAGAGGAAGUGAGUCGAGCAUCG